rnacentral:rRNA from 1 species
AUUGAACGCUGGCGGCAUGCCUUACACAUGCAAGUCGAACGGCAGCACGGGAGCAAUCCUGGUGGCGAGUGGCGAACGGGUGAGUAAUAUAUCGGAACGUGCCCAGUAGUGGGGGAUAGCCCGGCGAAAGCCGGAUUAAUACCGCAUACGACCUGAGGGUGAAAGCGGGGGAUCGCAAGACCUCGCGCUAUUGGAGCGGCCGAUAUCAGAUUAGCUUGUUGGUGGGGUAAAAGCCUACCAAGGCGACGAUCUGUAGCUGGUCUGAGAGGACGAACAGCCACACUGGGACUGAGACACGGCCCAGACUCCUACGGGAGGCAGCAGUGGGGAAUUUUGGACAAUGGGCGCAAGCCUGAUCCAGCCAUGCCGCGUGCGGGAAGAAGGCCUUCGGGUUGUAAACCGCUUUUGUCAGGGAAGAAACGGCUCUUGAUAAUACCGAGAGCUAAUGACGGUACCUGAAGGAUAAGCACCGGCUAACUACGUGCCAGCAGCCGCAGUAA